rnacentral:rRNA from 1 species
AUUGAACGCUGGCGGCAUGCUUUACACAUGCAAGUCGAACGGUAACAGGCCGCAAGGUGCUGACGAGUGGCGAACGGGGGAGUAAUGCAUCGGAACGUGCCCAGUCUGGGGGGAUAACGCAGCGAAAGCUGCGCUAAUACCGCAUACGAUCUAUGGAUGAAAGCGGGGGACCGUAAGGCCUCGCGCGAUUGGAGCGGCCCAUGUCCGAUUAGGUAGUUGGUGGGGUAAAGGCUCACCAAGCCAACGAUCUGUAGCUGGUCUGAGAGAACGACCAGGCAGACUGGGACUGAGACACGGCCCCGACUCCUACGGGAGGAAGCAGUCGGGAAGUUUGCACGAUGUGGGCAAGCCUGAUCCAGCAAUGCCGCGUGCAGGAAGAGGGCCUUCGGGUUGUAAACUGCAUUUGUACGGAACGAAACGGGCCUGGUUAAUACCUGGGGCUAAUGACGGUACCGUAAGAAUAAGCACCGGCUAACUACGUGCCAGCCGCCGCAGUAAGAC